GAUGAACGCUGGCGGCGUGCCUAAUACAUGCAAGUCGAGCGAACGGACGAGAAGCUUGCUUUUCUGAUGUUAGCGGCGGACGGGUGAGUAACACGUGGAUAACCUACCUAUAAGACUGGGAUAACUUCGGGAAACCGGAGCUAAUACCGGAUAAUAUUUUGAACCGCAUGGUUCAAAAGUGAAAGACGGUCUUGCUGUCACUUAUAGAUGGAUCCGCGCUGCAUUAGCUAGUUGGUAAGGUAACGGCUUACCAAGGCAACGAUGCAUAGCCGACCUGAGAGGGGGAUCGGGCAAACUGGAACUGAGACACGGUCCAGACUCCUACGGGAGGCAGCAGUAGGGAAUCUUCCGCAAUGGGCGAAAGCCUGACGGAGCAACGCCGCGUGAGUGAUGAAGGUCUUCGGAUCGUAAAACUCUGUUAUUAGGGAAGAACAUAUGUGUAAGUAACUGUGCACAUCUGGACGGUACCUAAUCAGAAAGCCACGGCUAACUACGU
rnacentral:rRNA from 1 species